GGAGAUAUAAACCUUGCAAAGCCAUAGAACGUCUACGUUAGCAGAGAGCCAGGCAAGGAGCUUAACAUGCGCCAAAUCUGAGACGCAGACGCGACUAAAAAACAGUCGCUAAUAAUGGGAGACUAGUUUUAUUUUAUUUUUCUCGUGUCCCUAGCUUUGUUUACCAACAACAAUCCAUAGUUUUACCCGUGAAGUGAAAUUGUGAUAAUAGCGGCAGUUUUUCGUCACGUCCGCGUCGUAUAGAUUUGGUGGUUUUAAUGAUAAUACUAGGGACCUGGC